rnacentral:rRNA from 1 species
GGCUACACACGUGCUACAAUGGGUAGAACAGAGAGUCGCAAAGCUGUGAAGUGGAGCUAAUCUCAGAAAACUAUUCUUAGUUCGGAUUGUACUCUGCAACUCGAGUACAUGAAGUUGGAAUCGCUAGUAAUCGCGAAUCAGCAAUGUCACGGUGAAUACGUUCUCGGGUCUUGUACACACCGCCCGUCACACCACGAGAGUUGGUUGCACCUGAAGUAGCAGGCCUAACCGUAAGGAGGGAUGCUCCGAGGGUGUGAUUAGCGAUUGGGGUGAAGUCGUAACAAGGUAUCCGUACGGGAACGU